rnacentral:rRNA from 1 species
GCAAGUCGAGCGGUAGCACAGAGAGCUUGCUCUCGGGUGACGAGCGGCGGACGGGUGAGUAAUGUCUGGGAAACUGCCUGAUGGAGGGGGAUAACUACUGGAAACGGUAGCUAAUACCGCAUAAUGUCGCAAGACCAAAGUGGGGGACCUUCGGGCCUCAUGCCAUCAGAUGUGCCCAGAUGGGAUUAGCUAGUAGGUGGGGUAACGGCUCACCUAGGCGACGAUCCCUAGCUGGUCUGAGAGGAUGACCAGCCACACUGGAACUGAGACACGGUCCAGACUCCUACGGGAGGCAGCAGUGGGGAAUAUUGCACAAUGGGCGCAAGCCUGAUGCAGCCAUGCCGCGUGUGUGAAGAAGGCCUUCGGGUUGUAAAGCACUUUCAGCGGGGAGGAAGGCGUUAAGGUUAAUAACCUUGGCGAUUGACGUUACCCGCAGAAGAAGCACCGGCUAACUCCGUGCCAGCAGCCGCGGUAAUACGGAGGGUGCAAGCGUUAAUCGGAAUUACUGGGCGUAAAGCGCACGCAGGCGGUCUGUCAAGUCGGAUGUGAAAUCCCCGGGCUCAACCUGGGAACUGCAUUCGAAACUGGCAGGCUAGAGUCUUGUAGAGGGGGGUAGAAUUCCAGGUGUAGCGGUGAAAUGCGUAGAGAUCUGGAGGAAUACCGGUGGCGAAGGCGGCCCCCUGGACAAAGACUGACGCUCAGGUGCGAAAGCGUGGGGAGCAAACAGGAUUAGAUACCCUGGUAGUCCACGCCGUAAACGAUGUCGAUUUGGAGGUUGUGCCCUUGAGGCGUGGCUUCCGGAGCUAACGCGUUAAAUCGACCGCCUGGGGAGUACGGCCGCAAGGUUAAAACUCAAAUGAAUUGACGGGGGCCCGCACAAGCGGUGGAGCAUGUGGUUUAAUUCGAUGCAACGCGAAGAACCUUACCUGGUCUUGACAUCCACAGAACUUACCAGAGAUGCUUUGGUGCCUUCGGGAACUGUGAGACAGGUGCUGCAUGGCUGUCGUCAGCUCGUGUUGUGAAAUGUUGGGUUAAGUCCCGCAACGAGCGCAACCC